rnacentral:rRNA from 1 species
AGAUUGACGCUGGCGGCAGGCCUAACACAUGCAAGUCGAACGGUAACAGGAAACAGCUUGCUGUUUCGCUGACGAGUGGCGGACGGGUGAGUAAUGUCUGGGAAACUGCCUGAUGGAGGGGGAUAACUACUGGAAACGGUAGCUAAUACCGCAUAACGUCGCAAGACCAAAGAGGGGGACCUUCGGGCCUCUUGCCAUCGGAUGUGCCCAGAUGGGAUUAGCUUGUUGGUGGGGUAACGGCUCACCAAGGCGACGAUCCCUAGCUGGUCUGAGAGGAUGACCAGCCACACUGGAACUGAGACACGGUCCAGACUCCUACGGGAGGCAGCAGUGGGGAAUAUUGCACAAUGGGCGCAAGCCUGAUGCAGCCAUGCCGCGUGUAUGAAGAAGGCCUUCGGGUUGUAAAGUACUUUCAGCGGGGAGGAAGGGAGUAAAGUUAAUACCUUUGCUCAUUGACGUUACCCGCAGAAGAAGCACCGGCUAACUCCGUGCCAGCAGCCGCGGUAAUACGGAGGGUGCAAGCGUUAAUCGGAAUUACUGGGCGUAAAGCGCACGCAGGCGGUUUGUUAAGUCAGAUGUGAAAUCCCCGGGCUCAACCUGGGAACUGCAUCUGAUACUGGCAAGCUUGAGUCUCGUAGAGGGGGGUAGAAUUCCAGGUGUAGCGGUGAAAUGCGUAGAGAUCUGGAGGAAUACCGGUGGCGAAGGCGGCCCCCUGGACGAAGACUGACGCUCAGGUGCGAAAGCGUGGGGAGCAAACAGGAUUAGAUACCCUGGUAGUCCACGCCGUAAACGAUGUCGACUUGGAGGUUGUGCCCUUGAGGCGUGGCUUCCGGAGCUAACGCGUUAAGUCGACCGCCUGGGGAGUACGGCCGCAAGGUUAAAACUCAAAUGAAUUGACGGGGGCCCGCACAAGCGGUGGAGCAUGUGGUUUAAUUCGAUGCAACGCGAAGAACCUUACCUGGUCUUGACAUCCACGGAAGUUUUCAGAGAUGAGAAUGUGCCUUCGGGAACCGUGAGACAGGUGCUGCAUGGCUGUCGUCAGCUCGUGUUGUGAAAUGUUGGGUUAAGUCCCGCAACGAGCGCAACCCUUAUCCUUUGUUGCCAGCGGUCCGGCCGGGAACUCAAAGGAGACUGCCAGUGAUAAACUGGAGGAAGGUGGGGAUGACGUCAAGUCAUCAUGGCCCUUACGACCAGGGCUACACACGUGCUACAAUGGCGCAUACAAAGAGAAGCGACCUCGCGAGAGCAAGCGGACCUCAUAAAGUGCGUCGUAGUCCGGAUUGGAGUCUGCAACUCGACUCCAUGAAGUCGGAAUCGCUAGUAAUCGUGGAUCAGAAUGCCACGGUGAAUACGUUCCCGGGCCUUGUACACACCGCCCGUCACACCAUGGGAGUGGGUUGCAAAAGAAGUAGGUAGCUUAACCUUCGGGAGGGCGCUUACCACUUUGUGAUCAUGACU